AUCAGGCCUCUUAAAGUCAGGAAGAUGCUGAGUUCACAGCACUGGGGCUGAACUCAAUUUACAGUAAUGUGCAGGAGAUCAGCCUGAGAUCUGCUGGGUGGAAGUGCCCAGACAUGUCUGCCUGUAUGAUCCUUCUGGACACAGAAAACAAAACAUUGGCAUUAAUGUUCCUCCAUCUGUAUUUGAGGUGAUCAGAUAUACCUCUUGAUUUUCAACUUUGCAUGAUGCCUGGCAGUGCAUCCCUCCAAAAGGAAGUGGGAAGAUUAAAGAAAGACUUGGAGGCCCUGGAAUGUGCCCAGAGAGGGGCAAUGAAGCUGUGAAUAGUCUGGAGCACAAGUCUUGUGGAGAGUGGCAGAGGGAAUUGGUGUUUGUUCAGUCUGGAGAAGAAGAAGCUCAGGGGAGACCUUAUUGCUCUCUACAAUGCCCUGAAAGGAGGCUGUGGUGAGCAAAUGGGCUGUUUGCAAGUGCCGUCCCUGCCUCACCCCUGGCUGAAUGGUUGCCUCUGACAUACAGCACCCCAACUGCUCCCAGGGCAGAUGAAUGAAACUUUGUCAGAGAGCACUGAAUGAAGAAGAAAGAGCUCAUUUCCCUCCCCAGAUUCCUCCUGAAUUCACGGGAGCUGAACAAAUAGUAUCAGAAAGUGUAUCAGGACAAGAGAGAAGACAGAAGCACAUAGGCAGAUUUUGGGGAAGCUGAUGAGCAUCCGCUCCCAUCACAGGUCUGUGAGCACCCUGACUUCAUUGCCUCCUUCUGCUGCCGCAAUGCU